rnacentral:lncRNA from 1 species
AAUCCAUUCUAAACCUGCAUCUCAUCCUUUGAAAACUACCCACCUGCAGCAGUUGGUGUCCUGCAGCCACACUGGUACCGCCCGACCCAUCUCUGCUCCCAGAUACUGAUGACUGGUGUUGAGGGAGACUCCCCUCCCUGCAGCCAACAGUGACAAAACGGUGAGAGUCAUGCUUCCAGGAAUCUAGACUAAAGUUCCCUGGGGGCCUUGCGGCCUCUGUGGCACUCUCUAGUGGAGAGUCGGCCAGCGCAGAGCUGAAGCAUCCUGGACGUGCUGGGGUAGAGGAAGCUGUUUGUAAAGGAAGACAAGAGAUGCACCUAGAAGAAACAGAGACCAUGCAGUCCCCAGUGGACAGGAACUGUCCUUUGUUCUCCACUUCCCAUUCUCUCAGAGACCUGGCUGGAAUACCUCACCUCAAGUUCCUCCAGGAAACAUCUACAUACUUCCAAGAGCCUCCCCUAGUUCAGGAUAUUCCGGGUACCUGGUUCCAAGAAGACUUUGAGCCCCGCAGCUUCAUACACUUCCACAGCUUCAUACACUCUGGGAAGGAUGAGUUCCUGCUCCAAGCCUGCCCACAGGGCGCACGCUGGUGUAUCAGCCCAAGACUGUGACCACUGCACUAGGCUCCAUCACAGUUGCCUAGCAACAGUUGGUCUUUGGAUUGCACAGCAUGGCACGGAGACCCAUGCCUGGAAAGUUAGAAAUCUCCACGAGUGAAGAUGAGUCUGAGAAGCGGUAAGAGAAAGGGGUGCCAGCAAGAUGUAAAUGAUCAUGCACGGCACAGCCAAGGUAACUGCACAAAGCUUCACAGCGUGUGUGAUGUGUGGUCCAUUCUUGUGGCACCACUCAUCCCAGAGAUGGAGCUAACCACAGUACUUUACUCUGCAAAGCUUUCUAAAUCUUUCUCUCUAGAAUGAAUAAAAUUCCUGUAAAUGCAAG